AACUCCUAUCAUCACUUGAGGUCUUCAACAAUGUCUCUGGCCAUAAAACUCUUCCUCAUUCUCCUUUUAGUUGAAUCAUCAACUGCAUUGUAUAGAGUUGAUUUCAAUGAAAAUCCAAAAAGUUAUCUCGAUCAACCUGAGGUUGACUAUAUCAGGAUUUUGAGAGAGACCGUUCGAGGAUGGCAAGGAGAAGCGGACAAAAAAUACGGUUUAUACUCAUCGACCGAUUACAUGAAGCGAUCAUUGUUCCUACAAGACAAAGUUCGAAGAUAUGUUGAACUUUGGGGAGAGUGGAAGAAUCAUAAAGGCUAUCCAUUCCAUGACUUGAGGAAGAUCAAAAGUUACUUGUGGACGAUACAGUAUGAUACUUGUCGUCAAGCUGAGGGUACAGAUCUUUUGACAUAUCUUAUAUAUGGUCUUAGUGCAGAAACUGAUAUGGUUUAAUUUGUUUGUGUUUUUUUUAGAGUUUUUUUUUUUUUUUUUCAGUUUGUUUAUGUCUAUCUAGGGUUUUUAGUUUGAUACGUUCUUGUUUGGGACUUUUUUAUUUUUCUAUAGAAUUUUUGUUUUGAAUUCAUCUUUUUAAGAUAAUCUUUACGAUCAUCUAUACCAUAUAGUGGAAACUUUGAUGAAUACACAAACACAAGUUACACCAUCAAAGACCGUAAGAAGAAAAAAAACAUUCUUUUAAAAGUCAAUAAAGAAAAUUAGGUAUAUGAAUUGAACUUAAAAUCUUGUUUAAUCUGGCUGGUCAUGACAAGUGAUGAAUUGUGUACCAUCUAAGAGCCUAAAAUCAAAAAGAAGCAAUGCUAACAAAACCCAUGAAAUGUUUCGGUCUUUGUUGGAGCUCCGACAUAAAAUAUACUAGGAAGAGUUUCCUAUACGCAAAACCAAACGUUUGGCUCCUUUGCCUUAAUACUGAAAACACUAAAUGACGACGUAGGCCAUUUUUUAGGGUAGGCUUGUUUGUUCGCUUAGCUCUUUUUUGUUUUCUUCGGUGUUUUUAGAGUUUUCUUUUCCAGUUUUUGUUCAUGUCUAAGAUUUUAUACGUUCUUGUUUGGGACUUUUUAUUUUCCUAUAUAUAGAACUUUUGUUUUGGAUUCAAACUUUACUAUAAUCCUUUCGAAAAAGCUAGCUACACACAUGACAUGAUCAAUACAUAAACACAAGUGCACCAAAAAAGACAGAAAUAAACAAACAUACUUUUAAAAGUGAAUAAAGCAAAACAUAUGUCUCCUUCAUCUCCGCCAUGUCAUUAUCAGAUCUUGCUUCUUUGUAACAAACUCAGAGAUCGAGUUGAGAGAGAAGACGAAACAAAGAAGAAGAUUGAAGUAAACUUCUCAUUAACUCAAUAAAUUGUACAGUAUAGUUUCAUAUAGUUUCUACAUAGAGGGCGAAAUUUGCAAGCAUAUCUCAAAAUUUACUUCUGUGAGAUCGGCAGAAGGUUAAUUAGUGUGCCAAUUAUCGUUUUAUUUUUUUCUUACUACUAUAAACAACUCAUUGAUUUAUGUUUUGCAGAUGUCACCAUACAUGUGUCUAACAUUAACGAUUUGAUGAAAGAGGAGGCCAGACACUUGCGUGAGAUGAUAGAUGCUUUACACAAAGAACAUACGAAGCAGAUUCAUGCAUACAUAAGCUGCCAUUUGACAGAUCAAUCCAAAUUUAAACACAUCAAAGGUUAUAUAUUGGAUGGUUCUAGACAACGUGAGAUAUUAGCUGUUGUUGUUUUUAUAAGUGUAACAUCUUUUCCAUUUUGAACGCUGAAACAAGGAUGUAAAAAAUUAUGUUAAUUAGCAGGUUAACAUCUCACAAUUGGUUUUCUUUGUUUGUUAAAGGUGAAUAGGAGGUGAUUGGCUCAAAUUUUACCCUGAGCUACACUCUCAAUUAGGAUUAUAAGAAUCCGAGUUUUUUUUCUCUUUCGAAUGAUUCUAGAGUUUUUUUUUGCUAUUUGGGUUUUUCGUGUAUAGUUUGACCGGGCCUGUUUGAGAUGUUUUGAAUUUUUAUUAUUAAUAAAUGAUAUUAAUAAAAAUAUGACCUCACAAUUUAUCUGAUGAAAACCAAAAAAAAAAUUCUCCAUGAAAAACCUUAUAUGUUUAUUUUUUGUAUUAAACAUCCAAAAACAAAAAAGCAAAGGUAAAAUAAUAAUAAUCAACUAAACAAAAACGUACCCUAGAGAAUCCCUAUAUUAGUAAAAGAGAAGUACAAAAAGUGUUUCCGGGUCGGGUCAAUUUAAGAAAAUUACCCGAAAUUUGUAAUUGGAUCUUUUAAAGUUGGAUAGAUUAAUGGUUUUGGAUACAUACACCGGAUACUUUCCAAAUCUAAUUUUAGGAUUGUAUUAUUUCCAUAACUAAUUAUAGGAUUUACUAAUAUUUCUCUAACUAAUUUAAUACAAUCUAUUUAAAAAAUAGUAUUCUUCUUUCACUUUUAUUUGAUAUUAUUUAUAAUUUAUGAUAUUAUACUAUAUAAUAUAAAAAUUUAAUAAAAAUUUAAUUUUUUUUUUUGCAUAUGUUGCAAUUUGAAUUUUUCAAAACGGACAUAUAAUACUCAACUACACUCGAUUAAAUAUUUUGGACAAUGGUUUAAAAUCAUUAUAAGUAUAACCAAUAUUAAAACCAUUGUUACUUGAGCAUAUUUAAAAUUUCAAAUAGUUUCAAGAUAUCAUAAGUAAAAGGUUCAAAUAUAUAAAAAUUUUAGAAUUUAAAAUAUUGAAAUAUUUUUUUGAAGACAUAAAUGUAAUUUUGGAGACAUAAUUUUGAUUGAUAAAAUAUAUUAUAUAUCAAACUAUGUAAAUUUUAGAUAGUUCACGGGUAGUUUGUUAAAAUCACAAUUAUAAUGAUAAAGCCAGUUACAAAUAAUGUUUUUUACGAAAUGAAUUAUGUUACGGGUUGGACCUUCAAAAAAUAUAUUGUAAACAUGUAAUUUUUACGUAUAUUCCUACUUUUACUACAAAAAUAGUUAAAAUGAAUAGUUUAUCGACAAAUAUUAUUUCGUGCUGUUAAAUUUUCACCGUGUUUUUAAUUGUAUCAAAACUCAGUAUAUGAAUAUUUACUCGAUUUUUCGUUUAUUAUUUUAUUUAAACUUAUUAUACAAAUAUAUGAUUUACUGUAAUCGAUUGUACUGUAAUAAAAUUAAAAUAUAACAUAUUAGAAUCCGUUAAAAGUUAUAUAUGUAAUUAUUUCCCCCGCGCUGUAGCGCGGGUCCGAACCUAGUUAAUUAGAAAAAUAACAAUCACUCAAGCCAUCGAAGAAUGUGUUUACGACGACUCAGGCCAUGUAACAUAUAGGUCAAGAGAUUCAUAGCUUCAAUUUCAGGACAAGAAUCAUCAUCUUGGGUUGGCCACAACACACCUAUCUUGUCCCCCAAGUCACGGUAUGGCUUGUAGUUGGUCCACUGACGAACAUAAGCUUGAGCCUUGUCUUGUAUAUAAAAAGAUCUGUUGGCAUAAGUUUGAUCUCUGUUUUGUCUGAAAGAGAAGCCGUCAUAGUUCUCAAAAUCUGGCCUGAAAGGGUAUUUCUCAGUUGCUUCACGUUGCCAUCCUUCAAUCAUCUCUUUGAACAAACUUGAAUAGUCGACGAUGUUCACAUCUUGAUCAUCAGGUUGGCUUACAUAUUUUGCAAUGGAAGAUUCAAUCAAUAAGAACAAGAUGAAGAGUUUGAAUAUGGAGAGAGACAUUAUUAUGAUUGCACACAAAAAAAUUGUGUAUUUCUCUGAUCAAUAUCGUGUUAUUUAUAAUCGAGUUAAAAUUAUAGUUUUUCUUAUGAUUGGAGUUAUAUAUAUAAGCCUAAACUAAUUUUGUUUAUUUAUUUUCUUUUUAUUUUUUCAAACAAACCUUUACUAAGAUAAUAGCACAACAAUACUAAUUAAAUUAUUUUAUUGUUAUUUUCUAAGUAAUUAUCAUUGUUAUUUCUAAGUAACUAGAAUUGAACCCGCGGUACACCGCGGGUCUUUGUUUUUAUAAAUCCUUUUGGGAAAUCCUAUUUUUUCUUAUAUGUUUUGUUUUAUUGGAUAUGUAUCUCGUAUUGGAUAUAUAUAUCUUAUAUAUAUGUUUUUGGGAAAUAUUUGUUUUAUCAAAUUGUUUUAAGUAGUCGAUGUUAUGUAUGUACGUUUCGUAAGGUGUUUUGUGUGUAAAUUCAAAACUGAUUAGUUUUAUUCAUUGUUAUUAUGAAUUAUAUUUAUCUAUUUCACAAUUUACAUCACUCUUAUAAGUGUGUGUCGUAUUGUAAUGGGUUGGACCUGCGCUACACCACUAACAACAGCAUAGCAAAUAUUUUUAUUAUUAUUAUUAUUUAUGUAGUUUACAACUUAAAAUGUACUAUUUUCAGUUAAAAUUUAUUGAUUAAUAUAUUAUUUUAGAUUUUUUUUUUGUUUGAUACAGUAGUAUAGAGAUAUGUGGAAGUUAGUGUAUUUUUGUUUGUUUGAUGUAUACACAAAAAAAUAUUCUAUUUGAAUUUAUCAGAUAAAAUUAUUAGUUUAAGAGUAAGAACAUGAACUAUGAUUACAUAAUUCAUAAUAUAUGAUAAUUUAAUAUUUUUAAUGUUGGAUUAAAAGCUCACCCUAUAGAAUUUGUGGGUCUAUAAAAUAUGUCCUCCUCCGACCCGCUUGAGUUCAUAGGACAUGCAUAGAUUUUUACUAUAAAUUGAUUUUUCUAGUUUUAUUUUAAUGUUAUCAUUUUCUAGUUUGUAAAUUAAAUUCUAUCUUAAGUGUCUAAUUUACAUUUUUACUUUUUAAAGUCAUUUUUAAAACUAUAUAUUUUAAAUAUAUGAGUUUAAUGAUUUUUGUUGUUGUGGUGAUAUUUUUUUUACGUGCAAUUUAAUUUAUAUUAUGUUAAAUAUGAUUAAUCUAAGUUAAUAGGUGUAAUAGUAAAAAAAUGUACCUAAUCAUAUGACAAACCGAGAGUCUUGUCAAAGAGAUUGGUAAGAAUAUUUAAACCAAAUCAACUUCUGUUUUAAAUGCUAACAUACAGAUGUCUUGACAUCGAGGUAAUUCAUCUUACCAAAAUUUUAACUUUUUUUGAACGCAUCUAUUAAUUUUGGUAAAAUCUAGUUCUUAAUUCAUAGAAAUCCUUCUUGUUUCUUAUAGAGUUACUUAAAAUAAUUAAUUCUUUUUUAAUCAGAUUCAAUUGAUAAGAGAACGAAUACAAUAGAGAUUUUGUUAUUGUAUACUAAAUUUAUUUUUUUAUGAUGCAAGGAGCUAGAGAUGUAAUGGUUAGCUCUUAACCUUUAUGAAGUUUAACGAAACAAACUUUACAAUCGAUAAUUUUCUAACAUAAUUAAGAACAUCAAACUCCUCAGAACCUUAUUUAUUUCUAUUUCCUUCCAUUUUGUACCUCGUACUGAGAACGCAAAGGCUGAUGCAUUAGCAAAAGCGGAUCUUCUGUUUUUGAGAUUUGAUACUCUGUUUCUGUUUACAAAAAAUAAAAUAAAAAGAAUUAAAAAAAAAUAAAAUUUGACAUAAGAUUUUUAGUUUUUAUAACGGAAGUACCCUAUCAUUCGUCAAAAUAGGAUUCAGAUUAAUACAUAUUCUUGUGUUAGUUAAAUAGCUUGAAAUAGUUCAAUGAACAGAAAAUACAUUAAUCUUUCUAAUAACUUUUGAUAAUAUUAUCAUGGGUUUAAGAAUAGCUUUACCUCAAUCAUCUCAAAAACUGAUUAAAUUGUCUUCUUGGGGGAAAUGGAGAUAGUAAUCCUGCUUCUUUUAGUAUUGAUGAGUUUAAAAAAGUUUACAAAGUGAUAUUUAACCCGUCGGACACACUGUGAUUGUACCUGUAAAAAGACUUGUGAGUAUUUAGAAUAAAAAAAUCAUUCUAUUAUUUCUAUAAACUCAUCUCACCAAAACUUGUUGUGUAUGCUUUUCAGGUUUUGCAGGACUGCACUUGUCUUGUAGGGUAUCACGUCUGUAAUGAACUAAAAAGAAUAUGAAAAAAUGAGGUAAUAGCUCGAUGAUUGAAGGGAUCGAUUGUAGGUAGAGUGAUAUUUAUAGAUAAUAAGAAUAUUAAGGCUGCUCAUUUUUGGAAUAUGAUCAUAAGUACAGAUUAGUGGUAUGCAAAUAAUCAGUACAUUAAUUUGGGCGAAAUUGAUGUGAUUGAUAAAAAAUUAUUGAUUUACGAAAUUGAUAUUUAAGAUGGUCAUAAAUGUAUGAAUAUUAGUAUUUCAUAAAACUAACAAAACACAAAAGCGUAUGAUGGGUUGAAACUUUUCUGUACUGAAUUGAACUUACUAUUGAUUUUAGUGGGCCUUAUAAACUUAAUAAAUAUUUUCAUGGGUUUUUAAUGUCCAUUAAUAUAUUUGACAUAACAAAACUCUGUGUUCAGGACUCCGGGUCAAUAAACGAAGGAGAAGAUCCAAUGAUUUUCUUGGGCGGGCGUCUAAAGCACGCGGAUCCUAGACUGGUUUUUUUUGUUUCUUUUUCUUUUGCCAAAAUUACCCCUGAUCGAUUUCAAUAAUGUGUCUCCAAAUUGAAAUCAAUUUCAAUGAUUUAAAGGUUAAAUUUGACAAAUUUUCAAUUUGUACUUCUCUUUUAAUUAUAAGAAGAUUAUUCGUAGUAAAAAGAUAUCAUUUGUCGGAUAUAUAUAUAUAGUUCUACUACAAUUUUUGUUUUUUUUGUUAUAUUUUUUUCCUGUUAAAAAGCUAAACUUUAGCUCUAAAAAAACACAAUCGAUUGUUUCUAACGAUAAACAUUAAAAUUAGAAGAUAAACAAAAUUAAUUAAGGAAUUUAAUUAGUCUCAAAAGUUACAAACCCUAAUCCCAAUUGGAAAAAGAAGUCGAGAAACUUGUAUUCAUAUAAUAAAGUAUAUAUAAACCUUAACUCCUAUCAUCACUUGAUGUCUUCAACAAUGGCUAGACUCUAGCCGUAAAACUCUUACUCAUUCUCCUUUUAGUUGAAUCAUCAAUUGCAUUAUAUGUAUUUGAUCCCAAUGAAAAUCCAAAAAGUUAUCUCCAAUUCUCCAUCAACCUGAGGUUGACUAUAUCUGAAUUUUGAGAGAGACCGUUCGAGGAUGGCAAGAAGAAGCGGACAGAAAAUACGGUGUAUACUCA
rnacentral:lncRNA from 1 species